UAACUCUAUAGUAAGUACCGGUCUCCAAGUCCUUUGUCAUCCAGGGUUAUGUUGGUAAUUUCAAUUUGAAACCCCUUGUAAAACCAAUAUAGGAAAGAUUCUGUUCUAAAUUGAUAUUAGUACACGCGUAUUUUCUUAUGAUACCUGUUUCACACUUCUCUUCCUUCAUAUCAAUAGUCAAUACUUUGUUGAGUCUGCUAAAGUCCCCCAUUUUCAUUUCCUUCUCUUACAUUUGUUUCUCCUUUGCUUAUGGUUUUCCUUUUAAGGUUGUUUUUGGAAAUUUUUUACUGUCAUGCUUUUUCAGUUCUCUUUGGUUUUCACUCUUUUUUACCACUAAGUCAGCUCUUGUUGUGCUGAAAUAAAGCCUUGACAAUCCCAAAUGCUACCCUACAAACAUCAAAUGCAAGCCAAACAAGUAAAUGCAACUCUUCACUCGCUGUUUGUGUUACCUUCUUACAUAACCUUCUGUUACAAGGCAUUCACAGUAGAAUCUUUAUGUGAAAUCAACUUGGUACAUACAAAGUUUGUUCUCCAGCUUAUAUACUGUAUGAACAAGAAUUGUUGGCAACUCUUUUUUACUUCAAAGCUUCAGUUGAUUUUGUAAUUUUAAUUUGAACAUUUGAUACGUCAAGAGUAAAUGCAACUGUAAUAAACAUGAUACCAGAAACUAUUCUUGGAAUGCAUAUCUUUGGUGUUGAGAAUAGGUCACACAACUUGAGUUAAUUAAAAUCUCCAUUUCUUUUUGCUACUUUCAACUUCUCUACAAAAGUAUUGUAACCACCAUUUCCCUUUUAGUGUCUUCAGGUUUUCUACAUAGCUCCUAAACAAGUGUGGUCAGUGUAGAGCUGUGUUUGCUUCUACAUUAUGACAAGGUAAUGCUAGUGUGCGGUGAGCGAGCAUGCUCUGUGUACAAUUAAGCAAAGAGUUGCUGAAGGUUGGAACGGAAUAUCGUAUGUAGUGUUGAAUGCAAUCUGAACCUCCUUUUACUUUCAGCCCUCAGCUUGGUUCUUCUUCCUCUUUCCUUUUUGUUCACAAUUUUUUCUUAUGUUUUUAUUAAUUUCGGUGUUAUUCAUUUUUGCUCUUUUUGGGUUUUUAAAACACCAACAGAGCUUCAAUAUUGCAAUUGAUCAUUGAGAUGUUGAAUUGUCUGCCUUUUAUUUUCAUUAAGGAGUUAAAAGUUUAAUUGUAUCAUUUGAAAUUGGGUUUUAAGAUAUCAAAUAAAGUUUGAUUUCAGGGAUGGACCAAACAAUUUGAAAGUUCCGGGUAUACAUGAAAAGAACUACAUAGAAGUUGCUUGAUGAGUGCCUCACACUGAGAGGGUAAGUCAUGAAAAUCAGAAAAUUUCUUCACCUUUAUUUAUAUCAAUACUUAGGUGCAUCUUUGUUUCUUGCUUUGAUUUCCUAGAAUAGUAUUUUGAGUAUGAAAAAUGGGUCCUUCAGAGUGAAAUUGAUGUUUAUAAAUCAAAUUACCGAAUAUAUUUUUCAAAAAUAAAUAAUCAUCGGUGUAUAUGACUGGAGAAGAAACUCAGACAUCUGAGAAAAAUAUUCUUAUUGGGUUUUCAGUAGACGGGACCUUACUUAAAUUGACAUUUUCAUGCAAAUUAGUUGCACUCUUUGGUGCUUAUACGUGGGGUAGUAGGCUUAGUAGUUAUCUUUAUGCUUUAUGUAACACCUCUGGAUCUUCGAUGACUAUUUAUCAAAAUUGAAAUGUUUCCUCAUCUUAUUUCUUUUAAAAGGCUGAUUCUAUGUCCUCUAUAGUCAUGUUACAAUCAAUCGUCUGUCCAAUGGUGAGGAGCCAAAUUAUCUCUCUGCAAGUAUGGAAAUGAUACGUGGUACACCCGAUUCUUGACGAACUCGAGAGGCAAAGAGAAUGGUUGGGUGGCGAGGCAUCACUUCUUACAAGGUUUGAUGCUAUUUUAUUGGUUGGGUGGCAAGGCAUCACUUCUUACAAGGUUUGAUGCUAUUUUAUUGGUUGGGUGGCAAGGCAUCACUUCUUACAAGGUUUGAUGCUAUUUUAUUGGUUGGGUGGCAAGGCAUCACUUCUUACAAGGUUUGAUGCUAUUUUAUUGGUUGGGUGGCAAGGCAUCACUUCUUACAAGGUUUGAUGCUAUUUUAUUGGUUGGGUGGCAAGGCAUCACUUCUUACAAGGUUUGAUGCUAUUUUAUUGGUUGGGUGGCAAGGCAUCACUUCUUACAAGGUUUGAUGCUAUUUUAUUGGUUGGGUGGCAAGGCAUCACUUCUUACAAGGUUUGAUGCUAUUUUAUUGGUUGGGUGGCAAGGCAUCACUUCUUACAAGGUUUGAUGCUAUUUUAUUGGUUGGGUGGCAAGGCAUCACUUCUUACAAGGUUUGAUGCUAUUUUAUUGGUUGGGUGGCAAGGCAUCACUUCUUACAAGGUUUGAUGCUAUUUUAUUGGUUGGGUGGCAAGGCAUCACUUCUUACAAGGUUUGAUGCUAUUUUAUUGGUUGGGUGGCAAGGCAUCACUUCUUACAAGGUUUGAUGCUAUUUUAUUGGUUGGGUGGCGAGACAUCACUUCUUGCAAGGUUUGAUGCUUUUUUAAUGAUCUCAGUAGAAUUUCUUCUCUUUUGGCACUGUUCAUUUUAAAUUUGGUAGGGCUGUUAUACGUAUGAAGCAUAGUUUUAAUUUUAGGAGCUCUUCUGUUUUGCCAUCUUCAUUCUAAUUUGUAAUUCCUUUUCUUUUGGGUGGGUAUAAAAUCUGUCUAGAAAGACAAAAAUAUUAUAAGGGAGUAGCAAGGAAGUAUGUGAAAUAUACACUUUCUUUUAAGAAAGACAACUUAUUACUGUUUUCUGUUAGUGUGCAACAAAUCUCUUGUGUGAUUGGUAUUUGGAAUAAGCAACUUUCUUUUGUUUGAUGAUUUGGAAUUCAAUUUGGCUGGAAACAAGUAAUGUUCUUCCAAGUCCAGAGAAGUUGCAACAAUCAUGUGUACAAUUUUGAUCCAAACUGAUGUACUCAAUGUUCUGUAGUGGUUCUAUCUUAAAAGAACCAAUGCAAUUGUUUUAUUAUAUAAUAAGAAUUGAGGUAGCAUCUAAUAUUAACUGUAUUACAUAUUAUCUUUUUAGUUGAUAGAGACAAUCAAUAAGUACGAAUUGGGAUCUUUAAAUUUCUUUUUAUUUCCAAUCAAGUGUUAAUAAUUCCUAUAUAUUUAUAAUUAUUUUACUCUUUUCAUCUUGUGUGUCUUUACUUUCUUGAUCACUUGAUUAUGAUGGACAAUUGAACAAAUUUGCAUGCACGUUAUGAAACUGUAUUGUGUUCUACCUGCACCUAAUUCAACUAUUCACAAUCCUUUUGAGUAUGUUAUAAGUGGUCAUGUUCUUGUUACAGGCGCUUUGUGAAAGAAUAUUUAACAAAGGAGGAGGUAUAACUGAAGAUAAUUAGACUACCAUACACUCAGGAGUUAAUUAGCUAUUCACCUGCAAAGGUAAGCAGUGCUAAAUUGCUAUUCAUUUCUUUAUUUCAGGUAUGUUUUCGAUGUGUCCAUAUAGUAUACAUACAUGUGCAUGCGUAGAUUACAGAAAUAAUUGAUUUACUCGUGAUAUAAAUAGUGAUAUAAGUCACCCGUGCGUAGAACGGGCACUGGUGAUGGGAAUGCAUUCGGGCGAUUCAUAGCAAGUUAAUUGAGAACUAUCUUCAGCUAUGCGCCAACAACAUUUUUGACAGAUUAAUCAUGGUAGGGAGCUCUGCUAAAGUCCUUUCAGAUAUUAAUCACAUUGCAAAUAUUUUCUCCCGAGGUUGAAAUCUAACUUCCAAAUGCAUACGCUUUCUCUUGUUGCUUUCUGUAACCGUUCUUUGAGCAAAACUUUAUCUUCAGGCUGAAAUCUUGGAUCAGAAUGUACUUGUGUCACCAGUAUGUGCUUUCCUCAUGUUAUUUUUCACAGAUAGAGGGUGGGCUAUAUUUGCCAAGGCAAAAGAGUGAGAACAAUCUAAUCUUGUACAACUGUGUGAAUUUUUUAGUCUGAUAAUUGACAAAAGUGAUAGAUCACAACUCUUAGUGGGCAACAAGAGGGGAAGUGGAGUGUAGCCAAAGUAUCUAAAAUUGUCAUGGUGCAUGAGUUGUCUGGGUAGUAUCCUCAAAGUCAAACCUCGACCUAUAUUGGUUUAUCUGAUUGUUUUUUUUUUUUUUUUUUUAUAACCAAGAAAUCCGUUUGUGACCAGCCCUUUGGACCAAUCACAGCCUUCUAACCUCGGUGGAUAAUGGGCCCGCCCCUCUACCCUUCUCCACCCGCCCUUUGGACCAAUCACAACCUUCUAAACUCGGUGGAUAUUGGUUUAUCUGAUUUAAGCUCAUUUAUUUUGAUUUUUAUACCUAACUAGUGAAUUUGUCCGCACGAUGAGAAAACAUUAAUUAAAUAUUUAAAAUAUAUAUCUUUUUCUUUUUUAAUUUGAAUAUCAAAAAUAUUUUAAUGGUCCUUUCUAGUUUUUAAAUUAAAAUAGAUUCAAUUUAAGUUUUAGUUAUUAUUAAAUUGUAGUUUAACCAAUGGAAUAAUAACGGUUGAAUAAAUUCAAUGUAGUGGUAUUGAUUAAAAUAACAAAAUAUGUUCUUUUAGUUGAAUAAUAAUCGUUUUGUGUGAAUGUUAAUGACUUAGCGCACUUGAAAAAAAAAGUAUAACAUAAUAUAAAAUAGAUUAUAGAAAGUCUUUGAUUUUUUCAACAAAAUGAAGAGAGUUAAUUUCACAAAUGAUCAUCGAGCUAAAUGUUUAUUAAUUAAAUUUUGUAUUUAAAAAUGUAAUUUUCUUGAUAUUUUUUAUACGAAAAUUCAUUUAUUCAAUGUAGAAAAUUGAAAUAAGCUGCAACAUACGAUAAAUUUGUCAAAUAAGCAUUAACCAUAUAAUCAACAAAACAAACAAAUUAAUCAUAUCAAUGGACAGUAAACGAAAAAUUAUGUACAAAAAUAAAAGAGGAAUUUUAAUUUUGUAUUGCAAUUGUGCAUCAAUAUGAAAAAAAUAAAUUAUAUUUUGACCAUUAUUUUAAAGUUGUAAUUGAGUGAUAUCUCAAUUUAGAAAAAAUAUAAAGGUGGCUAAUAGAAAAAUGAUGUGUAACCUCGCUAUUAUUGUUUUGUUAUAAAUUCAUUGAAUUGUGGAUUGUCCAUUUGAUUACUUCAAGAAUUAAUUGAUGAAUUCAUGUAUGUAAAAGUCCAAGUGAUAUGAACCUUGGUGGAUAACUAUAUAUCUGCUAGUUUGGUUUUUAACAAGGUGACCUUUGGGUAUGAUAUCUCAACACUAUAAAUAGAGAUAUCAUUCAUCAUUUGGAUGACACACUUGAAUACGAAGAAAAGCCAUCUUCUUCAUCUCUAUAUCUUGUCUUCUUCUCUUUAUAUUAUAUUAUUUUGAGCUUAUGUUUUAUAACACGUUAUCAGCACGAGUCUCUAUAUUAAUAUUAUGAUGCUUGAUAGCAAUAUGGCUAGCAGAGUUGGUAUAUUUAUUCCUUCCCAAAAUUUCUAUUAAAGAAAGAAAGGAAGAGACGAUAAAGUUGAUACACUCAACGACAGAGUUGACUUGUUUCAAGUUGCAUCCAAAUUGUUUAUCAUCAUGCUUCUAUAAUUCAGGGAGUAACUUUUCCUAUCUAUUCUAAUUUAAAUUAUUUUGAGAUUUAAAGAUUAUAAUAUUUUAUAUUACAUAAUAAUAAUAAUAAUAAUGUAAUUGUAGUUUUGCAGGAAUUGGAGUUGAUUAAAUCAACUAAUCAUAUGUAAGCUUUAGAAAGUAUUGCUUACAUUUAAUUAUGAUUUGUCGGCUGUACUAAGUAUUGGAGAAGUAGUAAUAUGAAUAUUCGGUUCCUCUGAAUAAGUGAGAUGAUUUGACUAAUUUUGUCCGUACAUAUAUUUGAAUAAAUAAAUUCUCUUUUUAAAGAUUAAUAUUUCCAAAUUUAGUUGCACUAAUUGUAUCGUUGAGGUGGUGCAGGAAAUUAUAUAAAUGGAAAUAAAGAUUCAAUUGAUAUUUGUUGAGAGUAAAGAUGCUCUGAGAUGAGUCCAUUGCACUUGACCUACUAUAUAAUUGAUUGAGGGUAAGACGAUAGAUUCAAGUUCUAUCGCACCAAAAGGAUAAGACAUUAGGUUAAAGUCUGGAUGCACCAUAAUGAAAAAUAUUUGAGGGUAAGACGGUAGAUUCAAGUUCUAUCGCAUCAAGAGGGUAAUACAUCAAUUUAAAUUUUGAUGCACCAUGAUGAUAAUACGUUGGGUUCAUGUCCCAUCGAUUUAUGACCUAAGACGAAUUUAUAUGAAUAAGACGUUGGAUUUAAGUUCUAAUGCACCAUGAUGAUGAUUU
rnacentral:lncRNA from 1 species